GAUGAACGCUGGCGGCGUGCCUAAUACAUGCGAGUCGAGCGAACGGACGAGAAGCUUGCUUUUCUGAUGUUAGCGGCGGACGGGUGAGUAACACGUGGAUAACCUACCUAUAAGACUGGGAUAACUUCGGGAAACCGGAGCUAAUACCGGAUAAUAUUUUGAACCGCAUGGUUCAAAAGUGAAAGACGGUCUUGCUGUCACUUAUAGAUGGAUCCGCGCUGCAUUUGCUAGUUGGUAAGGUAACGGCUUACCAAGGCAACGAUGCAUAGCCGACCUGAGAGGGUGAUCGGCCACACUGGAACUGAGACACGGUCCAGACUCCUACGGGAGGCAGCAGUAGGGAAUCUUCCGCAAUGGGCGAAAGCCUGACGGAGCAACGCCGCGUGAGUGAUGAAGGUCUUCGGAUCGUAAAACUCUGUUAUUAGGGAAGAACAUAUGUGUAAGUAACUGUGCACAUCUUGACGGUACCUAAUCAGAAAGCCACGGCUAACUACGUG
rnacentral:rRNA from 1 species